rnacentral:rRNA from 1 species
GCCUACGGGUGGCAGCAGUGGGGAAUAUUGCACAAUGGGCGCAAGCCUGAUGCAGCGACGCCGCGUGCGGGAUGACGGCCUUCGGGUUGUAAACCGCUUUCAGCAGGGAAGAAGCGCAAGUGACGGUACCUGCAGAAGAAGCGCCGGCUAACUACGUGCCAGCAGCCGCGGUAAUACGUAGGGCGCAAGCGUUGUCCGGAAUUAUUGGGCGUAAAGAGCUCGUAGGCGGUCUGUCGCGUCUGCUGUGAAAUCCUCAGGCUCAACCUGGGGCUUGCAGUGGGUACGGGCAGACUAGAGUGCGGUAGGGGUGACUGGAAUUCCUGGUGUAGCGGUGGAAUGCGCAGAUAUCAGGAGGAACACCGAUGGCGAAGGCAGGUCACUGGGCCGCAACUGACGCUGAGGAGCGAAAGCAUGGGGAGCGAACAGGAUUAGAUACCCGAGUAGUC